rnacentral:rRNA from 1 species
GGGCAGCAUAGAAGUUUGCUUGCAAACUUCCGAUGGCGACCGUCGCACGGGUGAGUAACACGUAUCCAACCUGCCGAUAACUCGGGGAUAGCCUUUCGAAAGAAAGAUUAAUAUCCGAUAGCAUAUCAAGGUCGCAUGAUCUUGAUAUUAAAGAAUUUCGGUUAUCGAUGGGGAUGCGUUCCAUUAGUUAGUUGGCGGGGUAACGGCCCACCAAGACAACGAUGGAUAGGGGUUCUGAGAGGAAGGUCCCCCACAUUGGAACUGAGACACGGUCCAACCUUAAACGGGAGGCAGCAGUGAGGAAUAUUGGUCAAUGGACGAGAGUCUGAACCAGCCAAGUAGCGCGAAGGAUGACUGCCCUAUGGGUUGUAAACUUCUUUUA